rnacentral:lncRNA from 1 species
UUUACUUCUUCCUCAGCCUUGGCUUUUGCUUCUUCCAGAGCCUUGAUGAGUCUCGCCAAACAAGCUUCCUCAUCCUCUUCAGACGAUUUGGGCAUCAAGUUUUCAGCAACAUCUGCAGGAGUCAUUUUGGUUUCCUGUAACAGGCCACAUAUUGUCGCAAACAGUUGAUGAGAUUCAAGGUCCAAAUAAUUCUUUGCUAAAACUUUGAAUGCUUCAAAGCAACAGUAUGUUAAUUCUAUAUGCUUAUCCAUUCUUCCUCUCCUAAUCAAAGCAGGAUCAAGCUUUUCCACAUAAUUUGUUGUGAAAACAAUUAUUCUUUCUGCACCACAAGCUGCUGACCAGAGCCCAUCAAUGAAGUUCAGAAGCCCGGAUAAUGUAACCUGACUAUUCUUGUCAUUUUCUUCCCUUUUUUUCAUCUCCGCC